GCGGGAGUAGUUCAAUUGGUUAGAGCACUGCCCUGUCACGGCAGAAGUUGCGGGUUCGAGCCCCGUCUCCCGCG
rnacentral:tRNA from 1 species